rnacentral:rRNA from 1 species
AGCUCCAAUAGCGUAUAUUAAAGUUGCUGCAGUUAAAAAGCUCGUAGUUGGAUUUGUGGGGCGGCCAUCCGGCACGGCGCCAGCGGAACUCCUCCCUAUCCUCUUGGAAAGGGUCUGGAGACCGCAGGUGUUUUCCGUUGUUCCGGCAAUGCGGCCGCCCCUUUCUCGGGAAGCGGGUUGCUGGCAUUAGGUUGUCGGCGGCUUCGCGCCCGUCUUUUACUGUGAAAAAAUUAGAGUGUUCAAAGCAGGCCGGUGCUUGGAUACAUUAGCAUGGAAUAAUGGAAUAAGGCUUGGGUCUUAUUUUGUUGGUUUUCGAGACCGAGGUCAUGGUUAAGAGGGACAGUUGGGGGCAUUCGUAUUCAAUUGUCAGAGGUGAAAUUCUUGGAUUUAUGGAAGACGA